UGCAUAUUUUUCUCAGCUCUCUAAGUUUGUUUCAGCUCUAGGUAACGCUAAAUCCUUCUCCCAUGAUAGGGAUUUUCAGUUUCCCCAGUGAGGAUGUGUAUUCAGAGGUGGGCUUUCUCCCUGUCACACUUCGGGCGCUCACAGUUUUUCAGCUGUCUCAUGGAGUUUGCAGCAGCAAGCUACAAGGGGUCAGAGAUCUCUUUCAGUUUUCCUGAGAGAAAGGCUAGACUUAUGGGGUGACCAACAAUGCUGGUUUAUCCAAGAAGGGGAUUCCUAGGACGCAGGGCUGUCAGUGCUAAACCAGGUAAGGCAUAGGCAAACUGGAAUGAGUUGGUCAAUGCAAUUUAAUGUCAGUCCUUCACUCAAAUCUAGCCCUCUCAGUUAAUUAACUUGUAUUUUCUCAUCCAUAAAAGUGACACAGAGUUGUUAUUAAAAUAAAAUAAAGGGGCCGGGCGCAGUGGCUCAAGCCUGUAAUCCCAGCACUUUGGGAGGCCGAGACGGGCAGAUCACGAGGUCAGGAGAUCGAGACCAUCCUGGCUAACACGGUGAAACCCCGUCUCUACUAAAAUACAAAAAAAACUAGCUGGGCGAGGUGGUGGUCGCCUGUAGUCCCAGACACUCGGGAGGCUGAGGCAGGAGAAUGGCGUGAACCUGGGAGGCGGGGCUUGCAGUGAGCUGAGAUCCGGCCACUACACUCCAGCCUGGGCAACAGAGUGAGACUCCAUCUCAAAAAUAAAAUAAAAUAAAAUAAAAUAAAAUAAAGAAAGAAAAUUGCCCAUCAGAAUGCCUGACACUUACUUAGUAGGUGCUCAAUAAAUUAUGGCUAUUAUUAGAUGAAAAGUACUCUGUGUACCUCGGUACACCCUAUGGACACCAUUGGAUUAUGGCAAGCAAAAUAUUGGCCUGGCACAGUGUCUCACACCGGUAAUCCCAGCAUAGGCUAGGAGGCCAAGGCAGGCAGAUCACUGGAGGUCAGGAGUUCAAGACCAGCCUGGCCAACAUGGUGAAACCCCGUCUCUACUAAAAAUACAAAAAUUAGCCAGGCAUGGUAGCAUGUGCCUGUAGUUGCAGCUACUCAGCAGCCUGAGGCAAGAGAAUUGCUUGAACCCAGGAGGCAGAGGUUGCAGUGAGCCGAGAUGAUGGCGCCACUGCACUCCAGCUUGGGCAACAGAGUGAGACUCCAUCUCAAAAACAAAAAAAUUAGAGUUCACAAUUAUGAUCUUGAGUUACUAAAGAACAUUAAACUAUGACUGUUAUAUUCCUGUAUAGCAAUAUUAUCCAUUAAGAUGUGUGGGAGUCAUGAUAUUAGGCAUGAAAUAAGGAGAGGAAGCUCAACACAAUAUUUGGUCCUACUGUAAAUAGUAUUUACACUGCAAUAAUAGCUACACUAGUUAUUGAAUUACAAGUUAUAGAAUUGAAUUAUAGACAAAUUAUGGAGAAAUUAACAAUAGUUUCAGAACAUAGUGUAAAUAUUAUUAAUCUGUAUAUUGUGAAAGUACAGCUAUAGUUGACAGAGGUAGCAAAGUGGAAAUGGGAUAAAGAAGGACAAAAACAGUAGAAUCAUCAAGAGCCAACAUGGGGAAUUAAGAAAUGCAGUCUCUUGUUCGCGGAAUAAGAAGUUGAAGUUGAAUUGUGUUGCUUAAAGAUGCCCUAAUUCCAAGUGGAGAAACUGAGAAGGGUAAUAGAACCAUUUUGGAGGGUGGGAAAAUCAGAUGAGAGAGACACACAGAGAGAGAGAGAGAGAGAGAAAGGGGAGAAAGGGAGGGAGAGGGAGGGAGGGAGAGACAUCACAUCUCCCUCCCUUUCUCUCUCCUUGUCUCUCUCUCAUCUGAUUUUAAACAUAUGCAUUAAUUCUAUUUAUGAAAUUGUAAAAAUAAAAACAGAAAG
rnacentral:lncRNA from 1 species